rnacentral:rRNA from 1 species
CAGAUGCUAAUACCGGAUAACAACAGAUGAUGCCUAUCAACUGUUUUAAAAAGAUGGUUCUGCUAUCACUCUUGGAUGGACCUGCGGUGCAUUAGCUAGUUGGUAGGGUAACGGCCUACCAAGGCGAUGAUGCAUAGCCGAGUUGAGAGACUGAUCGGCCACAUUGGGACUGAGACACGGCCCAAACUCCGUACGGGAGGCAGCAGGU